GCGAGUAUAAUUCAAUGGUAGAAUGAGAGCUUCCCAAGCUUUAAAUGCGGGUUCGAUUACCGUUACUCGCUCCA
rnacentral:tRNA from 1 species